AUCACAAGAAACAACGCGCGACUACUACGGAAGUGCUAGACGCCGUCAUCGUCUCCAUCAUUAAAAAAAAAUAAAAUACAAAACUUCCCCAGCAUAAAAUUAUAAAUGAAAUAAUAAGUUUCGUGGAUAUUCCUGAAGAAGAAUAACAACAGCAAUCAUCAAUUUAUGAACAUGGAUAAAUGAAUUAUGUAUAAUUAGUUAAUCAACUGUGAGUGCUGUUUGAAAAAAAUUCAAGGCAAGGACGCGAGAUUAUAACCACCACAGCGCAGAGAUUACCUUUACCGAGUUACCAUUACAGAAACAAAAAAAACAUGUUUUUCGGGUUUCUGAAUUAUUAAGUCACGCACAUAAACUUUCUAUUGCACAGGAAAAGAUUUUCCAGUACAAUAACAAAAGUAAGUAACAUUUCAUAUUUAUAAUAUUAUUUUUUUAGAAACA